AGCGGAUCCGCGGCCGCAGAGUUUGAUCCUGGCUCAGAGCGAACGCUGGCGGCAGGCUUAACACAUGCAAGUCGAACGGGCGUAGCAAUACGUCAGUGGCAGACGGGUGAGUAUCGCGUGGGAACGUACCUUUUGGUUCGGAACAACACAGGGAAACUUGUGCUAAUACCGAAUAAGCCCUUACGGGGAAAGAUUUAUCGCCGAAAGAUCGGCCCGCGUCUGAUUAGCUUGUUGGUGAGGUAACGGCUCACCAAGGCGACGAUCAGUAGCUGGUCUGAGAGGAUGAUCAGCCACAUUGGGACUGAGACACGGCCCAAACUCCUACGGGAGGCAGCAGUGGGGAAUAUUGGACAAUGGGCGAAAGCCUGAUCCAGCCAUGCCGCGUGAGUGAUGAAGGCCCUAGGGUUGUAAAGCUCUUUUGUGCGGGAAGAUAAUGACGGUACCGCAAGAAUAAGCCCCGGCUAACUUCGUGCCAGCAGCCGCGGUAAUACGAAGGGGGCUAGCGUUGCUCGGAAUCACUGGGCGUAAAGGGUGCGUACGCGGAUCUUUAAGUCAGAGGUGAAAGCCUGGAGCUCAACUCCAGAACUGCCUUUGAUACUGAUGAUCUCGAGUUCGGGAGAGUGAGUGGAACUGCGAGUGUAGAGGUGAAAUUCGUAGAUAUUCGCAA
rnacentral:rRNA from 1 species